rnacentral:rRNA from 1 species
AUACGGAGGGUGCGAGCGUUGUUCGGAAUUAUUGGGCGUAAAGCGCGUGUAGGCGGUCUUUUAAGUCUGAUGUGAAAGCCCCGGGCUCAACCUGGGAAGUGCAUUGGAAACUGGGGGACUUGAGUACGGGAGAGGGUAGUGGAAUUCCUAGUGUAGGAGUGAAAUCCGUAGAUAUUAGGAGGAACACCGGUGGCGAAGGCGGCUACCUGGACCGAUAUUGACGCUGAGACGCGAAAGCGUGGGGAGC